ACGGGGACCGCACAAGCGGUGGAUGAUGUGGAUUAAUUCGAUGCAACACGAAAACCUUACUACCCUUGACAUGUCCGGAAUCCCGAAGAGAUUUGGGAGUGCUCGCAAGAGAGCCGGAACACAGGUGCUGCAUGGCUGUCGUCAGCUCGUGUCGUGAGAUGUUGGGUUAAGUCCCGCAACGAGCGCAACCCUUGUCAUUAGUUGCCAUCAUUUGGUUGGGCACUCUAAUGAGACUGCCGGUGACAAACCGGAGGAAGGUGGGGAUGACGUCAAGUCCUCAUGGCCCUUAUGGGUAGGGCUUCACACGUCAUACAAUGGUCGGUACAGAGGGUUGCCAACCCGCGAGGGGGAGCUAAUCCCACAAAGCCGAUCGUAGUCCGGAUCGCAGUCUGCAACUCGACUGCGUGAAGUCGGAAUCGCUAGUAAUCGUGGAUCAGCAUGUCACGGUGAAUACGUUCCCGGGUCUU
rnacentral:rRNA from 1 species